ACCUAUCUGGCUCAGUCAGUGGAGCAUGUGACUCUUAAUCUCAGGAUUGUGAGUUCAGGUCCCACGUUGGGUG
rnacentral:tRNA from 1 species